UUUACUUUUAACUCAUUACAUGCUGUUUGUUAAUCUCUUACUGUGGGUGGAAGUUUCCAUAUUAACACGCAGUAUGGGGUAUUUUAUAACUCUUCCCUCAUUUUCAAAGUGAAAGUACUGUAGUGUUUAAUAUCUGUGCGUAUCUCAGAAGCAUCACUGUGAACUUAAACCUUCACCCAGUGAAGACAAACAGUAAGUGAUCACUACUGUAACAUUUUAUACAAACUUCAUGACUACAUUUUAAUGUAAUACAUUUUAAUUGUUUUUCAUUUUUAAAUUAAUAUAAUGUCUUUAUAACAGGAGCUGGAUGAUGGGUGGUGUUAAUGUUGUACGACUGUUGCUGCUGGUCUGGAUCUUCACUGCUGUCUCUGAGGCCAAUAUUGAUAUCACAAUUAAGUGUGAAAAUGUGACUGCACAUGUGGGAGAUGAAAAAACGUUCACCUGCACGGUCUCUUAUCCAAGCUAUACAUGCUGCACAGAAAUGUACAAGUUUAUUAAUAUGACAGCAGAUAAAGGCCAAAUAAUCUGUAAAGAGGAGUUCAGAAAUGAUAACUGCAUACAGCUGAGCAGAUUUUCAUGUCCUUACACUGCAGAUAAACCCAUGACAACAAAACUCCAAUUCUUUUUGCAAGCCAACUGUGGUCAUGAAACAACAUAUUUCACUAUGCAUAUAGCAGAAGCUGUUAAAGAUGACACAGAUCAUCUCUCGUUCAAUAUUUAUUGUUGAAUUCAUGACAGAUUGAGUUCUGCUGUCAUUUAAGCAUGUAUACUAAAUAUUGAAUUUACUCUUUAUUCUAACACAAUAAUAUUGUAAACAUUGUUUAUGUUUUAUAUUUUAACAGCAGGGGAAUUAAACAGAUUCACAGGUGAAGAGUUUGGUGAAUCUACAAAGGAAACAGCCGUCAUCAUUUCUGUCAUGUGUUUGAUCAUCAUUAUCAUGGGAUUAAAUUACAAGAAGAAGCUCAACUUCAUCAACACUUGUGGAUUUCAGAAGGAUUAUAAUAUGGAUGUGCAUGAAAAAAUCCUCAGUAAUUGUUCAGAUAGGGAAACAGUGCACAUCAAUAUGUAAUAUAUUCAAGUUUUAACUAAAAAACAGCAUAU